rnacentral:lncRNA from 1 species
CUGGUACUCAGUCGCUUACCACCUGAACCUACAUGUAGCCCGUGAUGGCGCUAAUGAAAGUGGUGACUGAGAUGGCUCCUCCAUCCAAGGGAUAUAGUCCCACUUUAUUUUUCCAAAUACCUGGCUGUGAGUAUGUCUCCAAAGUAACAGAAAGGAUGGGCAAACUCCUCCACUGAUGGAUGGAGCUGCUUGCGUCCCCUCCGGCAGCUUUGCUUCCCUGGCCAGUGUCUGAAGCCAGUCUGUGUUGGUGACAAGUGACCACUGCACCUGCUUCAGAGCAAUGAGAUCACAAGCUCCAUCUGCUUGCUUGUUUCCCGUUCCUUGGGAAGCCCUGGG